rnacentral:lncRNA from 1 species
UUGAAUUCUGGAUGUGUGUGCGGUAUUGAGGAGUUCAGUGCAUCGGAGAGGCACCAUUCUGACAGUGCCCUGGAUGGUGGAGUUCCUGUCCAUGCUGGAUUACAUCGGCCCAUUUCUUCCUUGUUACAGGACUGCUCUGUGCCUUCUGCUUCAAAUCUACAAGAGGAUGGUACUGGGUCGAGGAGAGGAGCUAUGUUACAUUAAUCAGCUGCUCAUAGUGGCAGUAUUGGGCUGGCUCUUCCAGAAAGAGGUCUGAGUUUGGUAAGCAGCAGCUGAACACGGGCUAAACAUGACUUAAUUAUUUCAAGGCAUGAUUUGAUAGUUUGUUUCAGCUUUUUUAAUGCAUUAUGACGUGUUAGUGGUUCAACGGAUCACAAAACUCACGGUUCGGAUCAUAUUAUGUUUUCUGAGUCACGGAUCGGAUAGUUUUUGUUGAAGUGUUCUGGAACAGUGUUGUAAAUACAACUUAACCACUGAUUUCUAGUCGUGUCCAUUUUUGGAAGGCCAAACAAAGUAGUUUCGCUUUCACAACGAAACAGCAUCACACACGGCGGCCUUGAGUAAGCAGAGGCCGGGGGCUAGAGUGAGGAACUGCCGAAGGACUAGAGUGAGCAGAGGCGGCGGGCUUGAGAACGGCGCGGCCGGUGAAUUCGUCGAAGGAGGCUUGCCACAUGUGACGACCCUG